CCGGUUCACGCCCAUGCGUGAUGAAAAGGGAACGGGGUGAGAAUCCCCGACAGACCCGCUGCUGUGUGCGGUCCGUCACGAUAAAGCGAACACACGAUAGCCACUGACAUUUUCUUCGGGAAGGCUGUUUGCUUUGUCUUUGACCGCGAGCCAGAAGACCUGCCUGCGACGC
rnacentral:ncRNA from 1 species